rnacentral:rRNA from 1 species
AUAGCGUAUAUUAAAGUUGUUGCAGUUCAAAAGCUCGUAGUUGAAUUUUGGGCUUGGUAGGCCGGUCUGCCUUCUGGCAUGUACUGGUUUAGCUGGGUCUUUCCUUCUGGCUACCCGCAUGCCCUUCAUUGGGUGUGUUGGGGAACCAGGACUUUUACUUUGAAAAAAUUAGAGUGUUCAAAGCAGGCAUUAGCUCGAAUACAUUAGCAUGGAAUAAUAGAAUAGGACGUGUGGUUCUAUUUUGUUGGUUUCUAGGACCAUCGUAAUGAUUAAUAGGGAUAGUCGGGGGCAUCAGUAUUCAAUCGUCAGAGGUGAAAUUCUUGGAUCGAUUGAAGACUAACUACUG